rnacentral:tRNA from 1 species
UCCCUGGUGGUCCAGUGGCUAAGACUCUGUGCUCCCAAUGCAGGGCCCUGGGUUCAAUCCCUGGUCAGGGAA